AACCAGCACCUCAAGUGGUCAGGAGGAUUAUUGGGCCUAAAGCAUCCGUAGCCGGCUUUGUUAGUUUUCGGUUAAAUCUAUAUGCUCAACAUAUAGGCUGCCGGAAAUACUGUAAAGCUAGGGAGUGGGAGAGGUAGACGGUACUCCGUAGGAAGGGGUAAAAUCCUUUGAUCUAUGGAUGACCACCUGUGGCGAAGGCGGUCUACCAGAACACGUCCGACGGUGAGGGAUGAAAGCUGGGGGAGCAAACCGGAUUAGAUACCCGGGUAGUCCCAGCUGUAAACUAUGCAAACUCAGUGAUGCAUUGGCUUGUGGCCAGUGCAGUGCCGCAGGGAAGCCGUUAAGUUUGCCGCCUGGGAAGUACGUACGCAAGUAUGAAACUUAAAGGAAUUGGCGGGGGAGCACCACAAGGGGUGAAGCCUGCGGUUCAAUUGGAGUCAACGCCAGAAAUCUUACCCGGAGAGACAGCAGGAUGAAGGUCAAGCUGAAGACUUUACCAGACAAGCUGAGAAGUGGUGCAUGGCCGUCGCCAGCUCGUGCCGUGAGAUGUCCUGUUAAGUCAGGUAACGAGCGAGAUCCUUGCCUCUAGUUGCCACCAUUACUCUCAGGAGUAGUGGGGCGAAUUAGCGGGACUGCCGUAGUUAAUACGGAGGAAGGAGAGGGCCACGGCAGGUCAGUAUGCCCUGAAACUUUGGGGGCCACACGCGGGCUGCAAUGGUAGUGACAAUGUGUUCCGAAUCCGAGAGGAGGAGGUAAUCCUCAAACGCUACCACAGUUAUGACUGAGGGCUGUAACUCGCCCUCACGAAUAUGGAAUCCCUAGUAACUGCGUGUCAUUAUCGCGCGGUGAAUACGUCCCUGCUCCUUGCACACACCGCCCGUC
rnacentral:rRNA from 1 species